UUAGGAAACCGAUUCCCUAAA
ensembl:piRNA 21ur-1798 ncRNA